GAGUUUAUGAUGAGUUGCUCGAGCUUCCCUUCAACAUGUUAUGGGUGAUGUGGGCUUGAGUUUCAGAUGCU